UACAGAGGGUGCAAGCGUUGUUCGGAAUUAUUGGGCGUAAAGGGCGCGUAGGCGGUGCGGUAAGUCACCUGUGAAAAUCUCCUGGCUUAACUGGGAGCCUGCAGGCGAAACUACCGUGCUGGAGUGUGGGAGAGGUGCGUGGAAUUCCCGGUGUAGCGGGUGAAAUGCGUAGAUAUCGGGAGGAACACCUGUGGCGAAAGCGGCGCACUGGACCAUAACUGACGCUGAGGCGCGAAAGCUAGGGGAGCAAACAGG
rnacentral:rRNA from 1 species